AGGGGACCUUCGGGCCUUUCGCUAACAGAUGAGCCUGCGUUGGAUUAGCUAGUUGGUGGGGUAAGGGCCCACCAAGGCGACGAUCCAUAGCUGGUCUGAGAGGACGAUCAGCCACACUGGGACUGAGACACGGCCCAGACUCCUACGGGAGGCAGCAGUGGGGAAUAUUGGACAAUGGGCGCAAGCCUGAUCCAGCAACACCGCGUGUGUGAAGAAGGCCCUAGGGUUGUAAAGCACUUUCAAUUGGGAGGAAAACCUGCCGGCCAAUACCCGGUAGCUUGACAUUACCUUUAGAAGAAGCACCGGCUAACUCCGUGCCAGCAGCCGCGGUAAUACGGAGGGUGCGAGCGUUAAUCGGAAUUACUGGGCGUAAAGCGUGCGUAGGCGGUUCGUUAAGUCAGAUGUGAAAGCCCUGGGCUCAACCUGGGAACUGCAUUUGAAACUGGCGGACUAGAGUUUAGUAGAGGGGAGUGGAAUUUCAGGUGUAGCGGUGAAAUGCGUAGAUAUCUGAAGGAACACCAGUGGCGAA
rnacentral:rRNA from 1 species